CUAAUUUUCUAAACAUAUAUCUAUUCUGACCAACGACCACGGAAAGUUCCCGAAGGUCUGCAUCUAGAUACGAAGUUACAUUUUUACUCGGGAAGGACUAGGGUUGUUGUCGCUUACGAUCGGACCCUGUAAAAAAGUGACACCCGUGAUUCGAGAGACUCGCGUAUGUCUCUACGUGCCUUACAAUUUUAUUUUCACAAGAAAUAACCAACGCGGUUACGGAGAUAUCGAGCGUCGAAGAUUCGGCUGACUCGAAGUGAGUUCGAAACACGUUGCGAUACGGUACACAUCGCGCGGUGUACAGUUAACAGUUGGGUAGUUUCUCGUCUAUGUAAGUUUUGAAUGGUAACUCGGAGCCGAGGACUCCGAACGACCUUUCUCUUACAAUGGUAACUCUGCCGGUGUGUUCGACGGUGAUAGUUCGGUUACACGCCCAGGCGGACAACCAGGUACGCGAGGAACGAACCAACCGACCGACCAACUUACACGCGGGGAGUAGAGAAAAAAUUUCAUCUCUCCCCGGGUACGAGAGAGAAGGAGGGAAGGAGGUGGAAGGAGGGAACGAGAGGCGUACGAAAGAGAGAAAGAUCGAACCGGCAAAGCAGAGUAGGGAGAGGAAGGUGUGAAGGCCGUGCGAGCUGCUGUGUCCGUAUCGGAAUCGAUGCAGUUUUUCUUCUUCAAUUCGGACAGCUUAAGCCCUACAAAUAUCUUCAGCAAACCCAUCGGAUAUAGUUUCCGUAUCUAUACGUACAGUUCGCGUACGCGCUUCCCUGGUCUUAAACUAUAUCCGUUGAUUCGCAAACUUUGCCAACCUCUUUACGAAUAUCAUUCGAUGCAACGGAGACUCGAAGAUAAUCGUUUCGCUGAAGGCUCUUCACGCGUUUCCUUCUGCUCCUGCGCAUCACG